AGGGUAUUAAGUUAAUUAGACUUUGACACUUCAAAUGUCGCAGUGAACUGGUGUUCAUACUCUG
rnacentral:tRNA from 1 species